UCUCCGUUGGUGAACCAGCGGGGGGAUCAUUACCGAGUUUACAACUACCAAACCCAAUGUGAACCAUACCAAACUGUUGCCUCGGCGGGGUCACGCCCCGGGUGCGUCGCAGCCCCGGAACCAGGCGCCCGCCGGAGGGACCAACCAAACUCUUUCUGUAGUCCCCUCGCGGACGUUAUUUUUACAGCUCUGAGCAAAAAUUCAAAAUGAAUCAAAACUUUCAACAACGGAUCUCUUGGUUCUG
rnacentral:misc_RNA from 1 species